GACGAAAAUUACGAGUCCGUUUAUGAGAGAGAGUCUGUAUUCUACAAAGUGACGUUUCGAUUUUCUUAUAAAGCUCUUAAAGAAUAUUGUGAUAAAGUUCUUCUGGUCACCUGUUUUGUUGGUACGGCUGGAUUUAAUUAUACUCGUACUAUACAAAUUGACGUAAAAGAAACGAGACAACCUAAUGAAUUGAUGUUCUUAUCAAUUUUGAUACCAGUAUGUAUUGGCACGGUCACCAUGUCUGUGAUAUGUCUUUAUAUUUGUAGAAGGAAGGGUAUACUCUGUAUGAAAGUAAACGAAAAUACACCUGCACAAGUUUAACCUUUCCAGAAAGAUACGGACGGUAUCCUGUACAAAUGAUUCAUCGAUCACGUCUCGAACACCCAUAAUUUUACAUUCCGUGUAUGUGCUUUCUUUUCUGUAAGACAUUCCCAAUUAUAUAACCCAUUUAAACCAAUCAGGAAACCAAUAAGAAUUUACUUUUGGUGCUCGAUGAAUUCAAAAUGGCGUGUAUAUCGUCUGAUAUUAAUAGCAAGAAAGAAAAUCGACGCAUGCAGGGAAAUUUGACUUCCGAUAAUGAUAGUUCGUAUGCAAGCGAUACUCUUCUUGACAUUGAUAUCCAUGAACAAACAUCCU